rnacentral:tRNA from 1 species
AAUACGGUAGGAUAAGUUAAAAGUCUGUGAGAUUCAUAUUUUCGAGGUGGAUUCUGUAUUU